CAAAAGUUAAGAGUCCCAUCUACCUCUAUAGUAAAACAAAAUGAUAGUAAAUACAUUCCAUAAAAAUGUUUUUCAAGCCAUCAGUUUUGUUUCCGGCCUUAUCUGUCAGUAUUCCUUUCAGGCACAUUCUGAGAUUCACAACUGUGUUCUUUAAACAGCCAAAAUUCCCUCUUCUCCAGCAUGAGCUGGAGGGUCAAGGGGUGAUGGGAGCUGGUGGCUGCUGCAGAAACAGGUUCUUGCUGGGCCUUCCAACUCACUAAGCAGGCUGUGGGGCCUUGCUCUCCAUGCUCUUCUGCCUUCAUACUUGCUGAAUCCGAAGGCAAGAUCCUCUCCGAUGUUACCUCUUGUUCAAUAAACCUGCAAAUUCGCGAUACUGCCACCUCUAGUCGCCCUGGGAUGUCCACUGCAUCACCCACUUAGCACAGGCCCAUUAUGACUCCCUGAAGCACAGGCUUCCAGCUCAGAGGGCAGCGCACUGUCUCCACCCCUGCCCAAUGAUCCACUCAGACCCGGGAGGCUGUGGACAGCGCGUCCUCUGAAAUGCUGGUCUCCACACCUGCCUGGGGCUGGGGCACCAUGGGUGGAUAAAGAAACUGACCAGCAGAAAGUGACUAUUCUGCACGUGCAGGCGUGCACACAAGGUAAUUACCCACAAGCCUGCAGAAACUCACACGAGCACAACUGCCUCGCUUUCCCAUUCAUAUGUGUGGCACAGCUUACUGGCUGGUGCUAGCAUACUACACAUAAAUACAUUUAUAGGAAAAUAAUUAAAAUGCUGAAGUCUAUCUAUUUGAACUUCUUCCUCAUCGGUAAAGCUGGGAAAGCUCACUACUGUGUAGCUGGUGCCAAGGAGCAGCCUGAGACCCCGCCUGCAGCUGUCCCUAAGACUUUCCUCUCCCCAUACAGAAACCAGUUCUACUUCUUCACUGUUCUUCUUUCUUCCCUCUGGAAUUCAGGGGUUAAAUCCCUUCCAGGGUAUUUGGAUGCCUGCAGGAAGGAAACUGGAGAGAGGGCCCAGCCCUGUGCAGCACAAGGCUCCCUGCUCAGUGUGGCACCAGUUGGGCAGCCGUCAACAUCUGUGCCAGUGUUGCCACCUGGGCAAGUCUCUGUUCCUGGGGCAUGUCCAGGUGCAACAUGAAGAACAUCGUCAUCCUUUCUCGCCUGGUUCACUCCAUCGCAGGAUGGAGCCCACCAGCAGGGAACCCAGACUUCCUUGACCCAGAUGGUGGCUGUCCCUGUAUGAGGGCUCUUCAGAAACGCCAGGACAGGCCCAGGGCAUUUUCAGGAGCUCUUAGCAAAGCAGCCUCAGUCCGUUUCCUGGCAAUACCCUACACUAAACCAGCCUCUGGGGAGAGACCUGUGGCAGGGAGGAAUGCAGACGCCCUGCUGGCCUGUCUCUGACCCCUCACAUGCUGCACUCAUAUUAAUUUUCCAGGAUUCCUGAAGUCCAGCCUCAAGGGAUAUGUGACAGAAAAAAGGGAAUCAAAUGCUCUUUUGUCCUAUGGGCAAACUUGCUUUAAUUUAAAGCACUGUGAGGGCUGAAGGCAGAUGAUCCUGUCUCCAAGCAUGGACUCUGGCCAGAACCCCCUGGAGGGCAGAAGGCAGGGAGCUGUCUGCAGAAGGGCCAGUGGGGUCCACCCCCAGGGGCAGCAGGGAUGGUCACGAAGGAAACCAUGCCAGGAAGGGCAGGUGGUGGACCUCAGAGAACGGCACAAAAUCGUAGCACCCAGACACGAGGCAAAAACUCCUAUCUGGUCAGAUCCUGAUGCACUCCAGGUCCCUGUCUGUCCUGGAGCAUUCGUGUGACCCAGCAGUGUCCUGGAGACAACAAUGAGGCUGUGGGGGACAGCGGGGUCCCGAAUGUUCCUUCUGUAUAUUCCCAUUGACACAGAAAGGUCAUAGUGCAUUUCUCAAAGCACUGCCAAUCUAAAUGGUCAGGGGGGGUCUGAUAAGUAUAUCUAUAUCUGAUAUGGGGCCUUGCUUUGUCACCCAGGCUGGAGUGCAGUGACACGAUCAUGACUGAUUGCAGCCUCGACCUCCCGGGCUCAAGCAAUCCUACUACCUCAGCCUCCUGAGUAGCUGGGACUACAGCUACGCAACUGUGCCACCUCAGAGAAGGGUCUCCUCUCAACCUUUUCCAAAGCAAUGUGACGGUUUCUUUUCCAAAAGGUAAAAAAAAAACCCAAACCCCCAAACCUUCCCCCAUUUUGAAUGAUUCCUGGGGGGAAUUCAUUUGUUUUUUGCAAUCAGAGUCUGAAACCUGGGCUGCAGGUCAACAAUCUCGAGCAGUUAUGAAAAGACCAGGGUUACUGGAGACCAAGAAAGGAACGAGCGGAGGAAGGAAGGAAGGAAGGAAGGAGAGGGGCCGGGGAUUUUGUGCAAGAUUUAAUAAAAAAC
rnacentral:lncRNA from 10 species